AAGAGUAAAGUACUUCCGCUUCCUUAGGUGGAGCUGGAAAGGUGGAGGCGGAAGUGACUGAUCAAUUCAGGGGCGUGGGGUUCGUUUAGGUUUUGCCCUGUGUAUGACCUCGUUUGGAGCCAUGAAACCAGGUCACCAUGUGUGAUGACUACAUCCAAAGAGAGUGAGUGGCUUGAGACAUUGGUAGUAUGUGUAUCUGAUCAUAUCAAUAUGUUAAAAUGACGUUCAAAGUAUGAUCUACCUCAGAAUAAUCUAGCCUCAAGCUUUAUUCUAGGAAGGUAAUUCUGAAGAUACCUAUCUUCUUGAGAGUGAAAUUUUAUGGAAUCCUAGAUUUCUCAUACCUAGGAAUAACAAUACAAGGGACAGAAUAGUUAGCAGUGUUCCUGUUGAAAGGUCCAAGUAUCUCCCUAGGCACAGAAAACACCCAAAUGAGCAAAGCAGACCUUGGUGGCCAGAGGGGAGCCCUCAGGUAGAGCUGCAGAUGCUGGCAGUUUGUGUUAGAAGGUUCCGGGGCUAAACAGAUGCCUAGAAUUAGCCACCAAAAGGUAAAUUGUAGACUCCACUCUUCAAGAAGCAGCAGAAGGAUUAGGAAUUCAAACAGUGCUAUUUUACGGUCAUAAGAACAGACAGUAUUUUUUUGGCGCAGCAAGAACUUCUUAGGCCAUAAAGCAUGACAGACCUCUUUUCCUUAUGCGCUGAAUUGAAGAAGUGCUGACUCUUUUGCUGAUGGUGGCUUUUCUACAAUAUAAAGAUGGAAAUGGGAAGAAGAUGUUCAUUGCAAAUUAAGGAAGCUCUUCCACGAGUUCACGAAUGGAAAUAACAUCAAGAGUUUUUCAUCUUCUUAGUGUGCAAGGUAUGGAUAUUCUGUGUGUGAACUUCAAGAGUAUCUAAGGGAGGCAAUAACAUGGUUGAUAAUAUACCAGAGACUACAAACUGUCUGUGCAUCCCAGAGGAACAGGAAGCUUGUGCAGGUGAAAAGACUGGAGGAGGAAGUAUGUUGAUGAUACCCAGGAAGCCCACCUUCCACUUCUUUGGUCAUCAGAAGUAAGAAAAAGGACAAUUAAAUAAGUGGUUAAUAGUUGUUUAGAGAAAGAGAAUUUUCACUUUAUAUGCCAGUCAUUGAUAAUAUUUGCCAUAGUGGUUGCUGUUAAGUAAGUUUCUUCCUGCAGGCCUGUGAGAAGGCAUAGUACAUGAAAGUAGCAGUGCUUUCAACCUGAUUAUUAUUAUACAGUAUGGACUUUUAUUAUAUAACAAGCAAUACUUACAUUUUGUUAUUUACUUAUUUAUUACUAUACACUUACACAUAUGCAGACACAGUAAUAAACAUCUAAGUGGUACAAAUAGGUACAAAACCAAAAAUAAAAGUCUGCCUUCUAACUUC
rnacentral:lncRNA from 1 species